GUGCCAGCAGUCGCGGUUAAACGUUGGGGACAAGUAAUGCACAUUAUAGGCUUAAAGUGUUAGUAGAAUGGUAUAAAAAUAUUAUUAUAAAUAAUAUAUCUAUAUAGAUAUACUAGAGUAUAUAAUUAAGAUAUAAGAAAUAUAAGAGUAAUGGUUAAAUAUGCUAAUACUUAUAUGACUGCUAAUAUGUGAAAACAUAUAUCUGAUAUAUACUGACAUUGAGUAACGAAGGCUAAAGUAUCGAUAUGGAAUAGUUUCCCAAGUAGUUUUAGCAGUAAACGAUGAAUGUUCAUAAAAUAUAUUAAUAUUAAAUAUUAAAGAUUAUAUUUUAUAAAGUGAAAACAUAAACAUUCCGCCUGAGUAGUACCUUCGCAAGAAGUAAACUCAAAACAAUAGACGGUAUGAGUUAUACACAGUGGAUCAUGUUAUUUAAU
rnacentral:rRNA from 1 species